rnacentral:lncRNA from 1 species
AACAUGACGGAACCUGUUAUGAUAUGGUCAAUGAUUUCCGGUGCAUAUGUCCUCCUGGAUUUACUGACAAAACCUGUAGCACAGGUAACACUUAAGCAGCUUAACUAAUUUGGACUUGUGUGAAUCUCUGUUCUCUUUUUUAUUGUAUACAACUAAUUUAACUAUUUGAAAAUAGAGGUACUGUUCAAAUGGAGACAAUUCUAAUAAAAAAGAUGUUUUUCAAUCUAGUUUGUAUCUCCGUUCUCUUUUUUUUUUAAUGAAACGAAUUAAUGUAUUGUUUUUACAAGUGUACAGUUUUUCUAUAGUGAUAUAUAAGACCCAAACAUAUCCAGAAUGCCAUUGAGCUGCAAUACUUACUUUAAUUAGAACACUAUUUUUAAUACGUCCAGCUUUGGUGCUGAUUACAGAUAUAUCUGAUUGCUUUCCUAACCCAUGUGAACAUGAUGAAACCUGUAUGGAUCUGGUCAAUGAUUUCUAAUAUAAAAAAAGAAGAUGUGGUAUGAUUGCCAAUCAGACAACUGUUCACUAGAAAAAAAAAUGACACAGACAUUAACAACUACAUGUCACCGUACGGCCUUCAACAAUGAGCAAAUCCUAUACCGCAAAGUCAGCUAUAACAGGUCCUGACUUGGGACAGGCACAAUAACUGUAACACAGGUAACUCUAAAGCAGCUUUUCUGUAACAAACUAUCAUGCCUCAUAUCGUAUUCCCGAAAUAAAUUUAGUUUAUUUUUUCAAGUUUAAAACACUUUAUUUGGAUUUCUUACUUAACGAUGUAUAAUAAUUUAACUAUUUAUUCGAAAUGUUAUUAUUUCUGAUUUGCAAAAACCUUUUAAAAAUCAAAACUCUUUUCCUGUUUUUAUGGUCCCGCAACGAAGUUUUCGAUACCAUAUAGUUUUACCUUUUACCGUUUGACCGUAAUUCCAUCAUUUCGUAAUUCCGUCAUUCCGUCAUUCCGCAACAAAAAUGUGAUGUCAAUUUACAAUUAACAUGAACGAUAUGUAACAUUUAAAAAAGAACACAUGUGUGGUUUCUUUAUGACUUAACCUAUCGAUGAUUUGCUGUUCAUCAAAUGUCCUAUUUGAUAAAAUGCAACCAAUUUGAUUGUGUCUAUGCAUCUGGAUAUAAUGAUAAAACUAACAACACAUGUAAAUCACAAACGACUGUGCUAAUUUAAAACAAAAUUUAAUCCUGGUACAUAUGAUGAGUUAAUUUAAUAAGAUUUAUGUCUGCAUAUUGCCUUCUGAUAUUGAUUUGAAUAGCAUUCCAACAAAACACUGAUUUCCAUCUAGUUUUUAACUUUGUUCUCUAUUUCAUUUCUGUGAGGUAAUAAAUGCAUUGUUAUCUACAAGUUUCUUGUUUUCCAAAUAUGAUUUAUGAUACCAUCGUACUGCAGAAUAAAGACUUUAAAUGCAUUACGUGUUUCUUACUUAAACACUAUAUUGGAUCAAGCUCUGAUUUUUAUUUCAGAUAUUGAUGAGUGCCUAUCUAACCCAUGUUAUAAUAACGCUACGUGUAAUGAUACGAUCAACGAUUUUCAAUGCGUAUGUCUUCCUGGAUUUACUGACAAAACAUGUAGCACAGGUA